rnacentral:rRNA from 1 species
AUUGAACGCUGGCGGAAUGCUUUACACAUGCAAGUCGAGCGAGGUAGCAAUACCUAGCGGCGGACGGGUGAGUAACGCGUGGGAACGUGCCCCUUGGUACGGAAUAGCCCCGGGAAACUGGGAGUAAUACCGUAUGAGCUCUACGGAGGAAAGAUUUAUCGCCAAGGGAUCGGCCGGCGUUGGAUUAGGUAGUUGGUGGGGUAAUGGCCUACCAAGCCGACGAUCCAUAGCUGGUUUGAGAGGAUGAUCAGCCACACUGGGACUGAGACACGGCCCAGACUCCUACGGGAGGCAGCAGUGGGGAAUCUUAGACAAUGGGCGCAAGCCUGAUCUAGCCAUGCCGCGUGAGCGAUGAAGGCCUUAGGGUUGUAAAGCUCUUUCAGCUGGGAAGAUAAUGACUGUACCAGCAGAAGAAGCCCCGGCUAACUCCGUGCCAGCAGCCGCCGUAA